rnacentral:rRNA from 1 species
AUCUCUUUAAGUUAUAAUUUAAAGUAAAACCUGCUCAAUGUAUAAUAAAUAGCUGCAGAAUAACUGUACUAAGGUAGCAUAAUCAUUAGCUUUUUAAUUAAAAGAUAGAAUGAAUGGUUAAACGAAGUAUUAACUGUUUCUGUAUUUUAUAUCAUUAAAAUUUAAAUAAAAGUAAAAAUUCUUUUAUUAUAAAGAAAGACGACAAGACCCUAAUAAACUUAAUUUUAGCUGGGGCGGCAAUACAAUAAAAACUUACUUAUACAAAUAUAUAUUUCUAAUAAAAUUUAUUAAUAACUUAGUUACUAUAGGGAUAACAGCGCUAUUUAAAUUUAAAGAUCUCAUUAAAAUUUAAUAUUACGACCUCGAUGUUGAAUUAAUUUAACUUUAUAAAGAAAAAUUUAUAUAAGAAGGUCUGU